rnacentral:tRNA from 1 species
ACUAAUUAGGCAGAAUUAUUGUAUCAAAUUUAGAAUUUGAAUAUGGGUAUACCAGUUAGUA